rnacentral:lncRNA from 1 species
AGGGACAGAACUGAAACUGUUCUGAAUUUUGAUGAAAUCUCGAGAAUAGGAUAACCCGGAAUUGUGGCAAGUCUAAAUGAAGUGCAUGUUUUCUAUCAAAUUAAUAAAAAGAUAAACACAAAUAAAUAAGAAGAGAAAGAUAUUACAAACUUGAAUAAAAACAACCACCAAAAUAAUAAAAAUCCAUAUAGUUCAAAAUAAAAACAAAUAAAAUUAAAGAAGGGUCA